rnacentral:misc_RNA from 1 species
GAAACGCGAUAAGUAAUGUGAAUUGCAGAAUUCAGAGAAUCAUCGAAUCUUUGAACGCACAAGGCGCCUUCCAGUAUCCUGGGAGGCAUGCCUGUCCGGGCGUCGUCUCAACCCUCGAGCCCCCGUGGCCCGGCGUUGGGGAUCUGCCCAGGCAGGCCCCGAAAGCCAGCGGCGGACCCGUUACAGGCCCUUCCUUUGCGUAGUAAUACUGCCUCGCAUCGGUAGCCGGCGGGCUUCCAGCCUCUAAACCCCCAGGACGUCCGCCUCGGCGGCACCAAGGUUGGCCUCGGAUCAGGUAGGAAUACCCGCUGAACUUAA